rnacentral:rRNA from 1 species
AUUGAACGCUGGCGGCAGGCCUAACACAUGCAAGUCGAGCGGUAACAGAGAUUAGCUUGCUAAUCUGCUGACGAGCGGCGGACGGGUGAGUAAUGCAUAGGAAGUUGCCCAGUAGAGGGGGAUACCAGUUGGAAACGACUGUUAAUACCGCAUAACCUCUUUGGAGCAAAGCAGGGGACCUUCGGGCCUUGCGCUACUGGAUACGCCUAUGUGGGAUUAGCUAGUUGGUGAGGUAAUGGCUCACCAAGGCGACGAUCCCUAGCUGGUCUGAGAGGAUGAUCAGCCACACUGGGACUGAGACACGGCCCAGACUCCUACGGGAGGCAGCAGUGGGGAAUAUUGCACAAUGGGCGAAAGCCUGAUGCAGCCAUGCCGCGUGUAUGAAGAAGGCCUUCGGGUUGUAAAGUACUUUCAGUUGUGAGGAAGGUUGUGUAGUUAAUAGCUGCAUAAUUUGACGUUAGCAACAGAAGAAGCACCGGCUAACUCCGUGCCAGCAGCCGCGGUAAUACGGAGGGUGCGAGCGUUAAUCGGAAUUACUGGGCGUAAAGCGCAUGCAGGUGGUUUGUUAAGUCAGAUGUGAAAGCCCGGGGCUCAACCUCGGAAGGUCAUUUGAAACUGGCAAACUAGAGUACUGUAGAGGGGGGUAGAAUUUCAGGUGUAGCGGUGAAAUGCGUAGAGAUCUGAAGGAAUACCAGUGGCGAAGGCGGCCCCCUGGACAGAUACUGACACUCAGAUGCGAAAGCGUGGGGAGCAAACAGG